UCGGGUGUGGUGUAACGGUAACAUUUCUGACUCUCAAAAGUCCUUCGGGAUUGAGCACUCAGGGGCCCGGGGUUCGAUUCCCCGCAUCCGAG